CGCGUAGGCGGCCCUACAAGUCACUUGUGAAAUCUCCGGGCUUAACUCGGAACGGCCAAGUGAAACUGUAGAGCUAGAGUGUGGAAGGGGCAAUCGGAAUUCUUGGUGUAGCGGUGAAAUGCGUAGAUAUCAAGAGGAACACCUGAGGUGAAGACGGGUUGCUGGGCCAACACUGACGCUGAGGCGCGAAAGCCAGGGGAGCAAACG
rnacentral:rRNA from 1 species